rnacentral:rRNA from 1 species
GAUGAACGCUAGCUACAGGCUUAACACAUGCAAGUCGAGGGGCAGCAUGAACUUAGCUUGCUAAGUUUGAUGGCGACCGGCGCACGGGUGAGUAACACGUAUCCAACCUGCCGAUGACUCGGGGUUAGCCUUUCGAACGAAAGAUUAAUACCCGAUGGCAUAGUUCUUCCGCAUGGUAGAACUAUUAAAGAAUUUCGGUCAUCGAUGGGGAUGCGUUCCAUUAGGUUGUUGGCGGGGUAACGGCCCACCAAGCCUUCGAUGGAUAGGGGUUCUGAGAGGAAGGUCCCCCACAUUGGAACUGAGACACGGUCCAAACGCCUACGGGAGGCAGCAGUGAGGAAUAUUGGUCAAUGGACGAGAGUCUGAACCAGCCAAGUAGCGUGAAGGAUGACUGCCCUAGGGGUUGUAAACUUCUUUUAUACGGGAAUAAAGUGAGGCACGUGUGCCUUUUUGUAUGUACCGUAUGAAUAAGGAUCGGCUAACUCCGUG